rnacentral:rRNA from 1 species
UACAGAGGGUGCGAGCGUUAAUCGGAAUUACUGGGCGUAAAGGGCGCGUAGGUGGUUAUGUAAGUGCAUUGUGAAAUACCCGGGCUUAACCUGGGCAGGUCAAUGCAAACUGUGUGACUAGAGUAUAGUAGAGGGUGGCGGAAUUUCCGGUGUAGCGGUGAAAUGCGUAGAGAUCGGAAGGAACAUCAGUGGCGAAGGCGGCCACCUGGACUAAUACUGACACUGAGGCGCGAGAGCGUGGGGAGCAAACAGG